rnacentral:rRNA from 1 species
CCUUGGAGGCUGCAGUGGGGGAUAUUGCACAAUGGGGGGAACCCUGAUGCAGCGACGCCGCGUGGGUGAAGAAGCGCCUCGGCGCGUAAAGCCCUGUCAGCAGGGAAGAACAUGACGGUACCUGAAGAAGAAGCCCCGGCUAACUACGUGCCAGCAGCCGCGGUAAUACGUAGGGGGCAAGCGUUACCCGGAUUUACUGGGUGUAAAGGGGGCGCCGACGGCGAUGCAAGCCAGGUGUGAAAGCCCCGGGGCCAAACCCGGGAGUGCUCUGGGAACUGCGUGGCUGGAGUGCAGGAGGGGCAGGCGGAAUUCCUGGUGUAGCGGUGAAAUGCGGAGAUAGCAGGAGGAACACCGGUGGCGAAGGCGGACUGCUGGACUGCAACUGACGUUGAGGUCCGAAAGCGUGGGGAGCAAACAGGAUUAGAUACCCCUGUAGGC